AGAGUUUGAUCAUGGCUCAGGACGAACGCUGGCGGCGCGCUUAACACAUGCAAGUCGAGCGAGAACCCAGGCUUCGGCCUGGGGGAAAGCGGCGAACGGGUGAGUAACACGUGGGUAAUCUGCCCUCGACAUCGGGAUAGCCCGGGGAAACCCGGAUUAAUACCGAAUGGCCCAUCAGCUUUUCGGAGCGGAUGGAAAAGGUAGCUUCGGCCUCCGGUCGAGGAGGAGCCCGCGGCGGAUUAGCUUGUUGGUGAGGUAACGGCUCACCAAGGCUCCGAUCCGUAGCUGGUCUGAGAGGACGAUCAGCCACACUGGGACUGAGACACGGCCCAGACUCCUACGGGAGGCAGCAGUGGGGAAUCUUGCGCAAUGGGCGAAAGCCUGACGCAGCGACGCCGCGUGAGGGAAGAAGGCCUUCGGGUUGUAAACCUCUUUCAGGAGGGACGAAGCCACUCGGGUUAAUAGCCCAGAGGGUGACGGUACCUCCAGAAGAAGCCCCGGCUAACUACGUGCCAGCAGCCGCGGUA
rnacentral:rRNA from 1 species